rnacentral:rRNA from 1 species
GUUUGCUGAUUGAAGCUUGUGCGUCUUCGGAUGCGAGUGCCCAGUGGGCCACUUUUGGUAAGCAGAACUGGCGCUGUGGGAUGAACCAAACGACGGGUUAAGGGGCCCGAUGCCGGACGCUCAUGAGAACCCAUGAAAGGUGUUGGUUGCUAUAGACAGCAGGACGGUGGCCAUGGAAGUCGGAAUCCGCUAAGGAGUGUGUAACAACUCACCUGCCGAAGCAACUAGCCCUGAAAAUGGAUGGCGCUCAAGCGUCGACCCCACACCCGUCCGCCGAGGCGGAGAUGCGCAUUAUGCCUCGGCGAGUAGGAGGGCGCGGGGGCGAGCGUGGAAGGUGCCGGGCGUGAGCCCGCCUGGAGCCGCCCCCGGUGCAGAUCUUGGUGGUAGUAGCAAAUACUCAAGUGAGAACCUUGAGGACUGAGGUGGAGAAGGGUUCCAUGUGAACAGCAGUUGAACAUGGGUCAGUCGGUCCUAAGGAAUGUCCGAAAGGAUUUCUGAAGGGGGGACGGUCCCGCCCCAAGACCGAAAGGGAAUCGGGUUAAUAUUCCCGAACCCGGACACGGAGAUCGGUCCCUUCGGGGAAUCUUGCGGUAACGCAAACGACCUCGGAGACGUCGACGGGGGUCCCGGAAAGAGUUGUCUUUUCUUUGUAAGGCUUCGGCUCCCUGGAAUCGGCUCGCCCGGAGAUAGGGAUGUUGAAGCCGUAAAGCACCGCGCCUCUUGUGGUGUCCGGAGCGCUCCCGUCGGCCCUUGAAAAUCCGAGCGAGAUUUGGUGAUUUUCGUGCCGGCCCGUACCCAUAUCCGCAGCA